rnacentral:rRNA from 9 species
AACUUUCAACAACGGAUCUCUUGGCUCUCGCAUCGAUGAAGAACGCAGCGAAAUGCGAUAAGUAAUGUGAAUUGCAGAAUUCAGUGAAUCAUCGAAUCUUUGAACGCACCUUGCGCUCCUUGGUAUUCCGAGGAGCAUGCCUGUUUGAGUGUCAUG